rnacentral:rRNA from 1 species
GAGACCCACGCCCACAGUUGCCAGCGUACUCUUCGGAGUGACGGGUACACUGUGGGGACCGCCGCUGCUAAAGCGGAGGAAGGAAUGGGCAACGGUAGGUCAGUAUGCCCCGAAUAUCCCGGGCUACACGCGAGCUACAAUGGUUGGUACAAUGGGUAUCUACCCCGAAAGGGGACGGAAAUCUCCUAACGCCAAUCUUAGUUCGGAUUGAGGGCUGCAACUCGCCCUCAUGAAGCUGGAAUCCGUAGUAAUCGCACAUCAACAGUGUGCGGUGAAUAC